GGGAAAGAGGUGGCAUCGGCGGUUCAAGACUGAGUUUUCUAUCUCUUCAGUGCCUCUUUCAACAAUGAAGAUCAAACCAGGUUUUGUGCAAAUAUCUGCUGAGUGAACUACUUAUUUGAAAAUACAUCAUUGGUUAAUAUUCCCUUUUGCUCAUUGAAAUCUCAAAGACUACAGACCCCGCACAAGACAUUCUGACAUUCCCGUCUUUGAAAUGAAUGACAGCAAUGAUAAAUAUGGCUCACCUCCAGAGAUACAGAUCUCACAACUUCAUAUUUUUAAUAUAAAUUAUUAAUCUGAGGUGUGGUGCAAUUCCAUUAGAUGAAAGAGAUCUACACAUUCAGAAGCACAUGAUUCUUCCCCCUUCCAUGAUUCCAGUGGCCAAUAGACAAACUACAAUAAAGCCAUGCCCUGACUGGAUGUGCCUAACAUUUGUCUGGUGCUUAAAGGAGUUGGCUGCAUGCGUGGGAUGGAGAAGGAUUCAACAUUUAAUGGCAGUUAGAAUCAAAUUUUUAACUCAAGAAGGCAGAAGGAAUCCACCUAAAUAAAUGUUGGAAAGUCACCAAAAAUAGUUCUCCAAGUCAGAAGCGGUGCAAAAGCUGCCUCAGCUCUUGGUGGAUUUUCAAUUUCUCCCAGCCAUCUCUGUUUCGCUAAAGGUUUCUGAAGACAGUGGGGGAAGCUUUUUUCUCCUCCCCAUCCUGAUCACUAGUAUGAGAAGGGGUGCUAAUGGACCAGCCUUGGCCUUGCAGAUGAAGAUGAUGAAGGAAGAAGACAGGAACAAAAAAAACACUGAAGCAUUCUGUGGGUUCCUAAUACAUAUACCCAGUUUGAGUCCGAUCCUAAAAGAAUAAAAUUGACCAUUUCAAAAGGAGGCAGUAGCUAAAAUCAGAUCUCAGAUUGAACUAUCAGAUUGGUGAGCUAAAAGAAAACCAGACCUUACAGAUUAUUAAUCAAUAACUUAAUCUGUUUUGCCUACAUAUAAGACAUGGAAAUAUCAUAUAAUUGUCAACUUUGACUCCUAAUUAAAAAAAAAAGAGCAAAAAACUAAA
rnacentral:lncRNA from 1 species